GAGAGGUGUGAAGCAUUCUGUACUCAAAAGGUACGGACCUUCUCCCGAAGCACAUCUUUCAUAAAUCCACAUUUGCUAACUUUUAAUUCAAUGAUUAAAAAAGCAAGAGUCUUCGGGCGUUGAUGACGAAAGGUGUCUAAUACUUCGGACCUUAGUCAACGAAGUCAUCCUUUGAACCGCAAGUUCGGGGAUGUCAAUUGUGAAACAACUCGUGGGUUGGCCGACCCUUUGUGAGACCGCAAGUCUUAAGAGAUUGGAGUAGUAGUUGAGUAGUUAUCGACGAUACGAAUGGUAGCCGUAAGCGACCGACACUGACCUGAUACCUCUGUCAAUGAGGUGGACAAGUGGGGAACAAACUAAUUAUAAUCCCACAAAAGACAGGUUAUUCAAACGUGUAGUCUCAGCGU
rnacentral:ncRNA from 1 species